AAGACUAUAGACCUGCGGAGUACCUGCGGAGGGAUCAUUAGUGAACGCCCUCACGGGCUUAUAACUAUUCCAAACCUCUGUGAACCGUGCCCUUCGGGGCUAUUUUACAAACAUGGUGUAAUGAACGUCAUAUAUCAUAGCAAAACAAAACUUUUAACAAUGGAUCUCU
rnacentral:misc_RNA from 1 species